rnacentral:lncRNA from 12 species
UUUUGCCAGUUUUUCUGCUCCAAAUGCAUAUUCUCUUCCGUUUUCCCUCUCUCUCGUGACAUCCUUUCCUUCCUUUUUUAAGCACUCGUGCACAGUUUGCAGCUGAACUUGCAGACAGUCUCUGCUGCCCCUCUCUCAGCCUUGCUCCACCCGAGAUAACCAAAUCCAUCCUGCAGAGCUGGGCUCUUUCUCCACCAUCACACAGUACAUUAAUUCACUCAACACAUUUGUUUGCAGCUGUCUUCCAUCACCAACCCCACACCCAGCUGGCUCCUCAGAGCAGAGGGACAACUUCAUUUUCCACUAAUGAAGGUAUAAAGCAGCUGUGCAGAAGGGAGCUGUGCAGAGGGCCUGUGAGCCACCAGCCUUCUCCAGCCACGUGCACAGGAGACACAUCCUCGCUCUGACUCUGAGAAGACCAAAAACCAACGAGGUCAAACACUGAAGGUGCACAAUACGUCCGCAGAGCUCCUCCUGCCCCUACAGGAAUCGAAGGCAAAUUCCUACAACAGCAAAACCAACGAAUCUAAGCUGCGCGGAUAGCUUGAGAGCCAGGGUUAUAAAACAAAUUCAAGCAUUAAAUAUUCUUACCAAAGGCAAUCUGGGCUCACUGUGUUCUGUUUUUGUUAUGUUUUCCCCCUGUUUUAUGCUGCUUUAACCUUCAGUUGUUGCUGUUGGAAUCCUCUUUGCGCUGUUCCACU